AGGCCUGCCUAUUUUUAGAAAAACAAAUUCCUUUUCUCUUUUCAAGAGGGAGAAAUGUCCCGAGCUGUCAUCUAGGACAGUGAGCAGCCACCCUGCAGCUGUCUGCGGUGUCAGAUGUGGACGUUCCUAUGGCAGGACAGUGCCAGCCGGGACCCGUCCAGAUGACAAAAUUUAAAUCUCCAAUAUGCAGAAAUUGCAAUGAAGCAGAUGUGAGCCGAGCUCCCCGAAGUCUCUCCUCGUCUGAGAAUCCUGCACCGCCUGCCCGGCCAGUGAAGCG